rnacentral:rRNA from 1 species
AGCCAGACUCCUACGGGAGGCAGCAGUGGGGGAUAUUGCACAAUGGGGGGAACCCUGAUGCAGCGACGCCGCGUGGGUGAAGGAGCGUUUCGGCGCGUAAAGCCCUAUCGGCAGGGAAGAAGAUGACGGUACCUGACCAAGAAGCCCCGGCUAACUACGUGCCAGCAGCCGCGGGAAUACGUAGGGGGCAAGCGUUAUCCGGAUUUACUGGGUGUAAAGGGGGCGCAGACGGCAAUGCAAGCCAGGAGUGAAAGCCCGGGGCCCAACCCCGGGACUGCUCUGGAAACUGCGUCGCUGGAGUACGGGGGGGGCAGGCGGAAUUCCUGGUGUAGCGGUGAAAUGCGUAGAUAUCAGGAGGAACACCGGUGGCGAAGGCGGCCUGCUGGACUGCAACUGACGUUGAGGCCCGAAAGCGUGGGGAGCAAACAGGAUUAGAUACCCGAGUA